rnacentral:rRNA from 1 species
GACGAACGCUGCCGGCGUGCUUAACACAUGCAAGUCGASCGKAAAGGCCUUCUUCGGGAGGUACUCGACCGGCGAACGGGUGAGUAACACGUGAGUAAUCUGCCCCUCACUCUGGGAUAACUGCCUGAAAGGGUGGUUAAUACCGGAUGCGACCGUCCCCUGCAUGGGGUGGUGGUGGAAAGGGUUUCUGGUGGGGGAUGUGCUCGCGGCCUAUCAGCUUGUUGGUGGGGUAAUGGCCUACCAAGGCUUUGACGGGUAGCCGGCCUGAGAGGGUGACCGGCCACACUGGGACUGAGACACGGCCCAGACUCCUACGGGAGGCAGCAGUGGGGAAUAUUGGACAAUGGGCGAAAGCCUCAUCCAGCAACGCCGCGUGAGGGAUGACGGCAAUCGGGUUGUAAACCUCUUUCAGCACAGACUAAGCGCCCGUU